rnacentral:rRNA from 1 species
AGCAGCCGCGGUAAUUCCAGCUCCAAUAGCGUAUAUUAAAGUUGUUGCAGUUAAAAAGCUCGUAGUUGAAUUUCGGGAUUAGUACGCUGGUCGUGCCUCGGUAUGUACUGGUGUUACUGGUUCCUACCUUCUGACGAACCGUCAUGUCAUUAAUUUGGUGUGGCGGGGAAUCAGGACUGUUACUUUGAAAAAUUAGAGUGUUUAAAGCAGGCUCGCGCUUGAAUACAUUAGCAUGGAAUAAUGAAAUAGGACGUUCGAUCCUAUUUUGUUGGUUUCUAGGAUUGACGUAAUGAUUAAUAGGGAUAGUUGGGGGCAUUAGUAUUCAAUUGUCAGAGGUGAAAUUCUUGGAUUUAUUGAAGACUAACUACUACGAAAGCAUUUGCCAAGGAUGUUUUCAUUAAUCAAGAACGAAAGUUAGGGGAUCGAAGACGAUCAGAUACCGUCGUAGUCUUAACUAUAAACUAUGCCGACUAGGGAUCGGAUGAUGUUAUUUUUAAUGACUCAUUCGGCGCCUUACGGG